GUUCAAAGAUCACAUUUCCCCUAUCUGAUACACCUUUGUUCAUCAGUGUCUUGUCCCAGAGUUGGGUUGUGCAUUUACAUCAGAGAUUCAUAUUCAUCGUAAAUGCAUAAAAGUAACUGUGUCUUUUAUUUGUUAUUUGAAAUGUUUAUCUUAAUACAAAUUUUGCCCAUCUCUUGUUUACGGUUGCUCCAACUAGAGAUUAUGUUUAUAUUCGACAUCAGAGAAUCGUUUUAUAUGGGGAAAUACGAUGGAACGUUUUUGUUUACAUUAAUGGAUAGUUUCAAACAUUGCGCUUACUAAAUUGUUGAGAAUCUGAUGUUGUUUAACUAUAAUCACACCUGUGCAUAAACGGUGCUGUUCAAAGAUCACAUUUCCCCUAUCUGAUACACCUUUGUUCAGCAGCGUUACCAGAUAACUCUCAUGCAUCGUAAAUUAAAAAUAUAACACGAGAUUUUAAGCUUAAUCGAGGCUAACCUUAACCUUGAAUAACAUCGAACGAUUUUCGAGACACGAUCGAUUGUUCGUUGCAAGAUGUUUCUAUGUUAAGUUUUUAAUAUUAGUUAGUAACACACCUAUCCCAAGUUUCCAUAAUUCAACGAAAAAACCGGAAGAGACGAAUUUUUUUGUAAUAAGCUAAGAAAACAUGAUUUUCAUAUCAGUGUAAUUUUCCGUACAAACUGAUAAACUGAAGCUUGAUAAAACUGUUAACAAGCUUCCUGGUUUAAAACCGAGGAAAGUCUAUUUUUAAAAUACCUUGCUCGGUAAUAAUUUCUGCAAUAAUAUUGUUAUGUAACUUUAUAUAAAUUUUGAGAGAAACACUUUAUCCUCGUCAUUGUAUUUUAGUUUUCUCCUUACACAUCUAUGUACAUCGUUAUUGCUUCAAACCAACUCGAAGCAGUUACGAUACAGCAGACAUACCAAUUCGAUGACUUUGUCCGGACAUUGCAUGAUGAUAAAUUUACGAAAUCGUGUAUGCUGAAAAUGUACGUAUACGUAUAUGUAUCGAAAUAGUUGGCGGUUGUCUCAACCUUUUAAUUACAGCGUUAUAAGCGAGCACCGGUAGCGAUAUUAUUUUAGAAACUCAAAUUAAAGAUUUAUUUAUUUAUUUCAAUAUAUACGGGCAUAGCCCAUUAUGAAAUUAACACAGUGUAGCAAUUAUAAAGAUAAUAAUAAGAGCAUAUACUUUUUGUAUUUUAUGAAUAUUUAUUUCCUACUAUUGAUUAAUUGAGCAGUUAAAAGGUUAAAGAUAUUACUCAGUGUACAAUUUCGUACACUUAAAAUUAAACAAAGUUUCUCGUGAUAAGGCGGUUAAGUAUUGCUGAUUAUGCGUAACUUUAGUCAUAAUAAAAAGCACCUUGAACUGUGUACAGAAUGUAUUAUACUGCACUCGCACUAUUCUUGGAAUGAAUUACCAACAAACGGUAAAAAACCUUCGAUAUUUACGUACACGAACUACUGCACUAUCUUGCUUUUGUACAAUCAUUUUCUAUUCAUAAGCUUUUCACGAAGAAACUCCUCUACACUAUAAUCCGAUAAUACAUAUUUACCGUAUCGGGCACACUUAAACCUCGAUUGCAUCAUGUGUCAUGCAAUAAAGGGUUAAGUCUGAUCAAAUAGUAUUUAGUUAAGGUAAAAACACGAUAGUGAUUUGCGUAUUCGAAUCAUCAUCGCGGGUAGUUUAAUUUUAAACAUGCUGCUAAAGGCACACACAGUUCUGACGUCUCUAUUUUAAACUCAAAACGGUAUAGUAAGUUUUCUACAUACGCGGCUAAUUCCUUCGAAACCUUUCCGCGUUAGUCGAAUUACGUGAAUGCAAUGGAAUUUCGAUAUUCAAUUUUAUUGUUUAAGAGUAAUUGCUAAGAGUAAAAGCUAAAUUGAAUAGGCAUUUCUUUGGAUACGAAAAAGAAACGAAUAAAAUCUUGCAGCUUUACUUCUAUAUAGAAACAUUAUUACUGCAGAAGUGAAAGUCAAUAUCCACCUCGAUAUAUUUUGUCCACCCUUGUAUACUCUAUCAACGAAGGUAUUUCCGAUGCAAACGUGUUAGAAAGAAUUGAAGUCUAAAUUUCGAAUUACUGUAACAUAAAAUGUGGCUGCACUUUACUUUGGAAUACCGAAAAUUGGUCCUCCCACUGUCAACAAUAUCAUGAAAUCGCAAUAAAACUAAAUGACAUUAUUCGUGUCUUUGAAAUGCACGCGGCAAAAACGAAUGGUAAAGCUGUAAUAAUGCCUACCAAUUUCUUCUUGGAGCCCUUAUCCGUGUUGUUAUCCAGAUAAUCAUCCUACGCAAUACGAGUAUGCAAGAACCAUGGAAAUCAAGAUGAAUAUGAACAUAAGAUGGCGUAUACAGUAUCAAAAUGAAUUAAGUUGUGUUACGAGGAGGUGUACCUAUAUUAUUCGUAUGCAUUAUGAACUUUAACUCAAAUAAAUAUGAUUUAGGUUACAUAAUGGUAUUAAAUUUAUUCUCUGAUCACAUACUUAACUAAUGAACACAACAUAGUGCGAUAACACUCUUUUGUAUUAGAUUGUCCCAAAAGUUUCUUUCGCUUUCUUAAUAAGUAAUACAUGCACAAUAUUUUAUGUUUUAUGUUACAUUACUGAAUUGUGCACGAUUCAUUUUGCUUCAUUACUGUUACAACAUGAAUAUCUAUGAAAUUAGAUUGUCUAUUUAUAUAAACACGAUCACAUAAAAUAAUUGAGUGCAACUCGCGAAAGAAACUUUCGGGUCAACCUAAUACGAAUUUUGUUUUGCAACAUUCACUGGGUAAUCCUUACAGAGUUCUCGUUUCAAAUAUGGUCCAAAGGAUGUUACAAAAGAAAAUUCGCGUUGGACAGCGUAUUCAAUCUAAAGAAAAAUAUCGAACGAA